rnacentral:lncRNA from 1 species
CUAUCUUGACUCACUACAGCCUUAAUCUCCUGAGCUCAAGCAAUCCUCUCACCUCAGGCUCCUGAGUAGCUGGGACUACAAAUGGGUUCUCUACCUGGCCUGUGCCUUGUUGCCUGUUCCUUUACUGUACAUGUGAUGACAAGAAAAGAAGAUGGACCCUCCAUGUUGAACAUGCCUGGCCCUCAGAUGAGUAAACAGGAAGACUGAACUGUUUCUCAACUCCCAA